AGAGUUUUUUCAAAUUUAAAGGCAAAAAUGAAGCAAGCCUUUUCCAAUGGUUUCCUUCAUUUUGUACUUCAAAAAGAAUAUUUUAAAGUAUAUUCUAUCUCUAUUUUAUU
rnacentral:sRNA from 1 species